rnacentral:rRNA from 1 species
UCUCCUACGGGAGGCAGCAGUGGGGAAUCUUGGGCAAUGGGCGCAAGCCUGAUCCAGCCAUGCCGCUGAGUGAAGAAGGCCUUCGGGUUGUAAAGCUCUUUUGUUGGGAAAGAAAAGAUUCCGGGUUAAUAACCGAGGUYCUUGACGGUACCCGAAGAAUAAGCACCGGCUUACUUCGUGCCAGCAGCCGCGGUAAUAA